ACGGCCAUCCCACCCUGGUAACGCCCGAUCUCGUCUGAUCUCGGAAGCUAAGCAGGGUCGGGCCUGGUUAGUACUUGGAUGGGAGACCUCCUGGGAAUACCGGGUGCUGUAGG
rnacentral:rRNA from 1 species